rnacentral:rRNA from 1 species
GGAUUAGAUACCCUGGUAGUCCACGCCCUAAACGAUGUCAACUAGCCGUUGGGUUCAUUUAAGGACUUAGUGGCGCAGCUAACGCGAUAAGUUGACCGCCUGGGGAGUACGGUCGCAAGAUUAAAACUCAAAGGAAUUGACGGGGGCCCGCACAAGCGGUGGAGCAUGUGGUUUAAUUCGAUGCAACGCGAAGAACCUUACCAGGCCUUGACAUGCAGAGAACUUUCCAGAGAUGGAUUGGUGCCUUCGGGAACUCUGACACAGGUGCUGCAUGGCUGUCGUCAGCUCGUGCCG